CUGCUUUUAAACACGGCUUUACUUUGCAAUCUAUCUGCCCAUGAAUCCUGUCCGACGACAAGCAUCGCCCUUACACCUAACCUUAUCACCCUUCAACGGAACGCAGGCUCUAACAAAGAAAUCCCUAAUCCAAGAAGAUAAAACCAAAAACAAACUUCAUGUCUCACCCCAAAGACCAUGACCAGCGCGUACCAGCGUGAAAUGUAAUUGCCCUUACACGCACAGGUGUUGCAGACGAUGACGAUGAUGGGUGAUGGGUCUUUGGAUUUCCUUCACCGAAGAGCAGCCGAACAAACGCCACACCACAUCUUAUCUUAUCGCGCUGGCUUGUAAAGCUGGGAAUUACUCAUGGCAUCACAGCCGGCAACAGUGCGGUCUGCUCACCCGAACAAAGCCUGUUUUGUUCCGGAUUCUAGCCUCGAGCCUGGACUUUGGAACACAAUCUCCCGGUGAUAGUACUCAAAAGCGUUUGAGAGAUCGUAGGACUGACGAGGGAAUUUCCUUAAACAAAGGUUGAGUAAUAGACACUUGAGCGCUGCUGUGACGUAUCUUCGUUUGCACUUUAGCCGCUCGGAACGAAGCUUCAUCAUGCACUUGCGGUUGGCUGUAAUGCGCCAUACGCGCGACAUUCAAACUGGCAGACGACCACCAUCAGGCGUAAAUAGCAUUUGUUUACUGCCAACUGUAAACAAUCGCGCACCCAAAGACAGAAAUGGCAGUGGAACCGCAAUCUGAACGUGCGAUUCAAACAAUCUGUUGCUACUGAUAAACAUUGAUUAGCUUUGGCGUCAAUCGCGUAUGCGGACCUCAUUUUCCGUGCCACAACAACAAAGCAUAAAAAAGUGAGGACGAAAUAACACCUCCAUCGUCCCCAUCAGGGUGGGUGCGAUUGUGGGUAUCGGAAAGUAAAUAAAAGUAACAUCCACGCCCGCCCCGUCUGUCACGAACGUCUUUGAACAUUGAAAUAAGGUCGGCACGAUCGGUUGUGGCAAACUUUUUUGCGAAUGAUUAGCCAAUAAUGGUCGGGAACCAUGGUGGUCGUCGUCGUGGUCGUCGAAAACAUUUUUUUGUUCGGCAAAUUGGCGGUAAAGCUUAAAAGUGCAUCUUUUUGAGGGGGGGAAAUAUCAUUAAUUAUCUAUGCUCUGGACAGACAAGGUUCUACAUGCGUCAUCAGUACCAGGACACGCGCUAAUUGUUUCCCACCCUUUCGCUCUAGCAGCUAGAUAUCUCGAACCGUGGUUAAUCCGAUUGACUUGAACGCAGCGCUAAUCUUCCUUCCGUAAUUAGAAACUCCCCAAAGCACAAUCAGUUUUCGUGGUAGGAAAAAAAAUCGCAAAAUUGACGCAAGUGUUUCCAGCUAUUGCACAAUUAAUCAGAAAUGGAGGACAGGCGUUUUUUUAUGCACGCUUCUUAUUAAUUGCUUACCUUCUUAAAAAUAAACCCAGUGACAAAAAAAAAAACCGUGA